UAAGCUGUCGUGCUCACCUACCACAACAAGCGUGACAACUUUAUAACUGUUGUCCAUUCACUUUUCCUGAACGAUACACUCGGGGGAUCUUGUCCCUCUACUAGAUCCCUCAGUUUGUUAUCAAAACAUCAAAAUAUGUAUAACACAUUGAUUAGCUACGAUUGCGAAUCCAAAGUGUUGAUAUACUUGUGGGUUAUUAACAUAUACUAUGUCCGUCCAC
rnacentral:lncRNA from 1 species